UCAACCAUCCGGCUUUAAUUCUAUAACUAACAUCCUCCUCACAUUCCCCUUCUAUUUGAAGGAUUGAGCUGAAAUAUUUAAAGUGAUUACUUUGGGGAAAUUAAAUAACAUAUAUUAUAUCAAAAUAAUUACUUUCAAAAUACAACCCACAAGCCAACUUUUAAUUAUCCACUAUAAUAUAAAAUCAUAAAAUCAUAAAAUUAUGUAUUUAAUUCCCUAUAACAAAAAUAUUACUACGAUUGUUGCAGGUUCUAGACUGAACCCUUCACGAAUCUGUAUCUUUAUCUAUAUAACAAUUAAUCUCAAAAGUAGUUUUCAAGUGCCAUUCUUUUCAUUCGUCAUUUGGUCAUUUAUCCCUAUUUAUUCAUUUUACCUGUGAUCAAUCUCUAUCUCAUUUAUUCUUGGUGUUUUUCCUUCCUAUUUAGUAAUGCACUACUUUAACACUUUAUGCCUUUUGGAGUCACUUGAUGGUUACAAUGUAUAUAUUUUUUUUUUGUUGGAAUGAUGGUUACAAUAUAUUAUCUCUAUAUUAUAAACUAAAAUUAAAUAACAUA
rnacentral:misc_RNA from 1 species